rnacentral:tRNA from 1 species
ACUUAAAUAGUUUAUUUAAAAUUUUGGUUUGUGGAGCCAAAGAAGUAGUUAUACUUUAAGUA